rnacentral:rRNA from 1 species
UACGAAGGGUGCAAGCGUUACUCGGAAUUACUGGGCGUAAAGCGUGCGUAGGUGGUUGUUUAAGUCUGUCGUGAAAGCCCUGGGCUCAACCUGGGAAUUGCGAUGGAUACUGGGCGACUAGAGUGUGGUAGAGGGUGGCGGAAUUCCCGGUGUAGCAGUGAAAUGCGUAGAGAUCGGGAGGAACAUCUGUGGCGAAGGCGGCCACCUGGGCCAACACUGACACUGAGGCACGAAAGCGUGGGGAGCAAACAGG